rnacentral:rRNA from 1 species
GAUGAACGCUGGCGGCGUGCCUAAUACAUGCAAGUCGAGCGAACAGACGAGGAGCUUGCUCCUCUGACGUUAGCGGCGGACGGGUGAGUAACACGUGGAUAACCUACCUAUAAGACUGGGAUAACUUCGGGAAACCGGAGCUAAUACCGGAUAAUAUAUUGAACCGCAUGGUUCAAUAGUGAAAGACGGUUUUGCUGUCACUUAUAGAUGGAUCCGCGCCGCAUUAGCUAGUUGGUAAGGUAACGGCUUACCAAGGCAACGAUGCGUAGCCGACCUGAGAGGGUGAUCGGCCACAAUGGAACUGAGACACGGUCCAGACUCCUACGGGAGGCAGCAGUAGGGAAUCUUCCGCAAUGGGCGAAAGCCUGACGGAGCAAGGCCGCGUGAGUGAUGAAGGUCUUCGGAUCGUAAAACUCUGUUAUUAGGGAAGAACAAAUGUGUAAGUAACUAUGCACGUCUUGACGGUACCUAAUCAGAAAGCCACGGCUAACUACGUG